rnacentral:misc_RNA from 1 species
UGAAAUGACUCACCCUCUCUUAAACGUUCUUAAUAAGUGCCAAUCUCUCAAAACCUUAAAAUCUAUCCAUGCCCAUCUCGUCAUCUCAGGCUCCCUCACCUCCUCCGACCUCGCUCUGAACAAACUUCUACGUCUCUAUGCGCGAUUUGGUUCCAUCUCUUACGCUCACAAACUGUUUGAUGAAAUCCCGGAACCAAAUACAUUUCUGUGGACAGCAUUGAUUCAUGGGUUCACUGAAGGUCACCGGUAUGAAAAUGCAUUUUCACUCUUUAUCAAUAUGCAUAGAGACUCCGUUGCGCCUUUGAAUUUCACUAUUGCGUCGGUGUUUAAGGCUUUGGCUAGGCUGGGGAGAGUCAAAGAUGCGGAGGUGGUAUAUGGGUUUGCAUUGAAAUGUGGGUUUGGGUUUGAUUUGAUAGUUCAAAAUUCGAUAAUUGAUUUGUUCAUGAGGUGUGGGGAAGUGGGUUUCGCAAGACGAAUAUUUGAUGAGAUGGAGGAAAGAGAUAUUGUUUCGUGGAAUUCAAUGAUAUUGGGUUAUGGAAAUAAUGGAUUAGUUGAUAUAGCACGGGAGCUUUUUAAUAGAAUGGAAAAGAGGAAUGUGAUCUCGUGGACUAGUAUAAUUCAGGGAUAUGUCAAGGCUGGGGAAAUGGUGGAGGCAAGGGUUCUUUUUGAGAGGAUGCCGGAAAAAGACUUGGCAUCGUGGAAGGUGAUGCUUUCUGGGUAUACGAGUGCUGGAAAUCUUGUUGCUGCUCGACAUCUUUUUGAAGUGAUGCCAAUUUAUGAUGUUGGAACGUGGAAUAUGAUGGUUUCGGGGUUCUGUAAAGCAGGGGAUUUAGAAGAUGCAAAAGUGUUCUUUGAAAAGAUGCAGGAAAGAAAUGUUGCAUCUUGGGUAAUGAUGAUGGAUGGGCAUGUUAAAGUUGGAGAUAUGGAAGGUGCUAGAUGUUUAUUUGAUCAGAUGCCUGAAAAGAACUUGGUUGCUUGGUCUACCAUGAUUGGAGGUUAUGCCAAAAAUGGGCAGCCUCGUAGUGCUUUGGAGUUGUACAUAUCCUUCAAGAAACAAAGCAUUAAGCCAGAUGAAACUUUUAUGUUGGGAAUAAUCUCAGCUUGUUCACAGUUAGGAGUUCUAGGGACAGCUGAAUCAGUCAUCCAUGACUUAAUUGGACCUCCUCUUUUUUCUAAUCUGCAACUACUCACCAGUUUGAUAGACAUGUAUGCAAAAUGUGGA